GGCUCAGUGGUAGAGCACUUGCCUUGCAUGUAUGAGGCCCUGGGUUCGAUUCUCAG
rnacentral:tRNA from 1 species